rnacentral:rRNA from 1 species
GACGAACGCUGGCGGCGUGCUUAACACAUGCAAGUCGAACGGAAAGGCCCUGCUUUUGUGGGGUGCUCGAGUGGCGAACGGGUGAGUAACACGUGAGUAACCUGCCCUUGACUUUGGGAUAACUUCAGGAGACUGGGGCUAAUACCGGAUAGGAGCUCCUGCUGCAUGGUGGGGGUUGGAAAGUUUCGGCGGUUGGGGAUGGACUCGCGGCUUAUCAGCUUGUUGGUGGGGUAGUGGCUUACCAAGGCUUUGACGGGUAGCCGGCCUGAGAGGGUGACCGGCCACUUUGGGACUGAGAUACGGCCCAGACUCCUACGGGAGGCAGCAGUGGGGAAUAUUGCACAAUGGGCGGAAGCCUGAUGCAGCAACGCCGCGUGCGGGAUGACGGCCUUCGGGUUGUAAACCGCUUUCGCCUGUGACGAAGCGUGAGUGACGGUAAUGGGUAAAGAAGCACCGGCUAACUACGUG